rnacentral:rRNA from 1 species
UGACGUCAAGUCAUCAUGGCCCUUACGACCAGGGCUACACACGUGCUACAAUGGCGCAUACAAAGAGAAGCGACCUCGCGAGAGCAAGCGGACCUCAUAAAGUGCGUCGUAGUCCGGAUUGGAGUCUGCAACUCGACUCCAUGAAGUCGGAAUCGCUAGUAAUCGUGGAUCAGAAUGCCACGGUGAAUACGUUCCCGGGCCUUGUACACACCGCCCGUCACACCAUGGGAGUGGSUUGCAAAAGAAGUAGGUAGCUUAACCUUCGGGAGGGCGCUUACCACUUUGUGAUUCAUGACUGGGGUGAAGUCGUAACAAGGUAACCGUAGGGGAACCUGCGGUUGGAUCACCUCCUUA